AUAUUACUCCCUCCGUCCCAAAAUUCUUGUCUUCGAUUUAUCUAGAUACGGAUGUAUCUAAUACUAAAAUGUGAAUAGAUACAUCCGUAUGUAGACAAAUCUAAGAGAAGAAUUUUGAAACGAAGGGAGUAGUAU
rfam:Triticum urartu cultivar G1812 contig174184, whole genome shotgun sequence.